rnacentral:rRNA from 1 species
GUGGGUAGUUUGACUGGGGCGGUCUCCUCCCAAAGAGUAACGGAGGAGCACGAAGGUUGGCUAAUCCUGGUCGGACAUCAGGAGGUUAGUGCAAUGGCAUAAGCCAGCUUGACUGCGAGCGUGACGGCGCGAGCAGGUGCGAAAGCAGGUCAUAGUGAUCCGGUGGUUCUGAAUGGAAGGGCCAUCGCUCAACGGAUAAAAGGUACUCCGGGGAUAACAGGCUGAUACCGCCCAAGAGUUCAUAUCGACGGCGGUGUUUGGCACCUCGAUGUCGGCUCAUCACAUCCUGGGGCUGAAGUAGGUCCCAAGGGUAUGGCUGUUCGCCAUUUAAAGUGGUACGCGAGCUGGGUUUAGAACGUCGUGAGACAGUUCGGUCCCUAUCUGCCGUGGGCGCUGGAGAAUUGAGGGGGGCUGCUCCUAGUACGAGAGGACCGGAGUGGACGCAUCACUGGUGUUCGGGUUGUCAUGCCAAUGGCACUGCCCGGUAGCUAAAUGCGGAAGAGAUAAGUGCUGAAAGCAUCUAAGCACGAAACUUGCCCCGAGAUGAGUUCUCCCUGAGACUUUAAGUCU